rnacentral:rRNA from 1 species
UACGUAGGGAGCAAGCGUUGUCCGGAAUCAUUGGGCGUAAAGGGCGCGUAGGUGGCCCGGUCAGUCUUUGGUGAAAGCGCGGGGCUCAACCCUGCGUCGGCCAGGGAUACUGCCGCGGCUCGAGCACUGUAGAGGCAGGCGGAAUUCCUGGUGUAGCGGUGAAAUGCGCAGAUAUCAGGAGGAACACCGGUGGCGAAGGCGGGUCUCUGGGACGGUACUGACGCUGAGACGCGAAAGCGUGGGGAGCGAACAGG